rnacentral:rRNA from 1 species
UACAGAGGGGGCAAGCGUUGUUCGGAAUUACUGGGCGUAAAGGGCGCGUAGGCGGCCUUCUAAGUCGAACGUGAAAUCCCCGGGCUCAACCCGGGAACUGCGUCCGAUACUGGAAGGCUUGAAUUCGGGAGAGGGAUGCGGAAUUCCAGGUGUAGCGGUGAAAUGCGUAGAUAUCAGGAGGAACACCGGUGGCGAAGGCGGGUCUCUGGGCCGAUACUGACGCUGAGGAGCGAAAGCGUGGGGAGCGAACAGG